rnacentral:rRNA from 1 species
CAGUCGCCACGGUAAUACGAAGGGGGCUAGCGUUGUUCGGAUUUACUGGGCGUAAAGGGCUCGCAGGCGGUUUCUUAAGUCUGAUGUGAAAGCCCCCGGCUCAACCGGGGAGGGUCAUUGGAAACUGGGAAACUUGAGUGCAGAAGAGGAGAGUGGAAUUCCACGUGUAGCGGUGAAAUGCGUAGAGAUGUGGAGGAACACCAGUGGCGAAGGCGACUCUCUGGUCUGUAACUGACGCUGAGGAGCGAAAGCGUGGGGAGCGAACAGGAUUAGAUACCCGAGUAGUUCCUGUCUCUUAUAC